rnacentral:rRNA from 1 species
CCUACGGGUGGCAGCAGUGAGGAAUAUUGGUCAAUGGUCGGGAGACUGAACCAGCCAAGCCGCGUGAGGGAGGAAGGUACAGAGUAUCGUAAACCUCUUUUGUCAGGGAACAAAGGCGGGGACGUGUCCCCGGAUGAGUGUACCUGAAGAAAAAGCAUCGGCUAACUCCGUGCCAGCAGCCGCGGUAAUCCGGAGGAUGCGAGCGUUAUCCGGAUUUAUUGGGUUUAAGGGGUGCGCAGGCGGUCUGUUAAGUCAGCGGGCAAAGCCCGGGGCUCAACCCCGGCCCGCCGUUGAAACUGGCAGUCUCGAGUUGGAGAGAAGUAUGCGGAAUGCGCGGUGGAGCGGUGAAAUGCAUAGAUAUCGCGCAGAACUCCGAUUGCGAAGGCAGCAUGCCGGCUCCACACUGACGCUGAGGCACGAAAGCGUGGGUAUCGAACAGGAUUAGAUACCCGAGUAGUC